GCACCAGCCACCCCGCCGCCGCCAGGUGCCAGCCGCCGCCGCCCGGGCGCCUCCUCCCCGCCGAGACCGCUGCCAGCUCUUCCACUUUCUGAACUUCCCAGUUCAGAUAGGAAGUGGACACUCCUACUCAAAGAAGGCCAAACAGAGGGGAAGAUGAAGACAUCCAACCUUCAUUGAUGUCAUUUUAGCAAAUCAGAGAGAUGCUGAGACUAGAGAACAGGAAAUUCAUCUAAAACCACUAUCUUCAUAUGGAGAAGAAGACGCAGAGGAGAAAGAGGCGCAGUGGAGACAACGACUGAAGGGAUACUGAGGGCGGCGGGAGCCAUGAGGGACCAGCUCUCCCCGAGACCGCCCGGCCGCCGGCCUGGGG